UAACACAUUUAACAAUUUUGGUUCCUCUUC
rnacentral:piRNA from 1 species